rnacentral:misc_RNA from 1 species
UCAACCAUCAAGCCUGGCUUGUCGUUGGACUCGUGGUCGUCAUGACCGGUCCGAAAGAUAAUGGACGGCGGUGAUUAGCCCCCGAUGCAACGAGCUUUUGAUAGCACGCAUGGAAGGGUUGGUCAUCCCCGGCCUCACAUUCCAUUUUUCUCA